GGGGGUCGGAGAUGGCGUGGUCUUUUGGUGGCACUGGUAAAAGCAGAGGCCCGUCUCUUUACAAAGCCAGUGGAGAAUGGAGCAGGAGAGUGGAGGGUAGCACAGCUCCGUACAGCUGCAAGGCCGCCUCCCAACAGGGCAGAGCGCCCGGAGAAUGCUCUCUUUGUUUCUAUCCUUUAAAGGGUAGGAGAAACACUUAUGCAUGGCAAAUUAGCCCAAAAAUGUAUUUCUCUAAAACACCCGAUUGUCUAGCCAGCUCUGCAGCUGCAGGGAAGUUCCAGAAAGAGAGAGCGCAAGUGUGUGUGAGAGAGAUUGGUUUUUAGUGGUAGUGGGGGACAGUGGAGGGGAGGGAGAGGGAAUGGGGGAGAAGGCAGGCUAUGUGGAGGGAGAAGCAUUCGGCAUGUUAAUAUGCUGAGAAAUAGGAAUAAAAGGCGAUAGACUGUCAUGUCAAUGAGACUAUACGAUAGUGACAUUUAUGAUUAUCAUUUAAUAUGAGGGUAGGAAUAAACAAAAUGAAACAAUGUUUGAACGCCUUCUGUACAUAUUGUACAGAAAGGUAGCUUAAAAGCAGAUGUUCUGAAUAGGACCUAGUGAUCACUGUCUUCUGUUUUUUAUCAUUCAAAAAUGUGACAUUCUGCAAAUUCUACAUUUUUUUUUACACAGGGUAUAAAAUAGCCUAAAUUCAGUCUCUAUUCCCAACUACAGCAGGCCCAUGGAAUCAAUGGGGACUUAGUAAAUCAUUGCUUGGGUAGAUUCCAACAAUUUGGUGAGUCUAUUCUAUUUAAGGCAAUCAAAUGGACAUAAGUCUGAAAGUGAUGCACGUUUUACAGUAGGUCCUUGGUAUCUGCUGGGGUUUGGUUCCAAAAUGCUGUCUCUUAUAUAAAAUGGCAAUGCUUUUUAGAUGUUAAAAAAACAUGUCCAAGCUGUGGAUGGUUAAAUCUGCACACAUUGGGAACUAACUGUAUAUACAAUUAACUGUCUCUUUAAUCUGUUAUCACUCUGUGUUCCCUUUUUAUUUCUUAUAAUUUUUAUUAUACAGUACUUUGUUAUAAAUUUAUACCAAUCUUAUAGUUCACCCCCCCCCCCCCCAACCCUAAAAAUCCUCCAAUUGCUGAACUUCAUGCCAUUUCUCCCUACAUCCAGAUUUGUGUUGGAGCAAACUAUGAUAAUUUUCUAUAAAUACACAGACAGCAACUAUUCUAUGUAAUUUCAUUAAAUUAUCUUUAAAAUGCACUUACAACUACAAUUGUUGGAAUGGAAUUUAGUAACCUUGGGUAUCUAGUAAUUACAUUUAUUAUUUUAACACAUUUUUAAAACAUUUUGCAUUAUCACUGCAUGUGUCCAAAGUGUAAUCUUUUAUCUGUCAGUUUUAGCUAUACUGAAAGAAGCAAUAUUAAUAUAUUUGGUAAUGUGUGUGUGCAUUUGCAUGUGCAUACACACCUAUGGAGCCCCCAGUAGUGCAGCAAGUUAAACUGCUGAGCUGCUGAACUUGCUGACUGAAAGGUCAGUGGUUUGAAUCCAGAGAGCGGGGUGAGCUCCUGGUGUUAGAUCCCGCUUCUGCCAACCUAGCAGUUUGAAAGCAUGCAAAUGUGAGUAGAUCAAUAGGUACUGCUCUGGUGAGACGUAACGAACUCCAUACAGUCAUGCUGACCACAUGACCUUGGAGGUGUCUACGGACAAUGCCAGCUCUUUGGCUUAGAAAUGGAGAUGAGCACCAACCCCCAGAGUCGAACACAUAAAGGGGAAAGGGGAAAACCUUUACCUUUACCUACACACCUAUAUGAUGGAAAGGCUAGCAUAUUUGGUCCAAAUCUAAUUGCUAGUCUCAACUGGAAUAGACCCGUUCAAUUAAUUAAUUGGAUUUAUAUAAAUCUUCAAAUGUAAAUUACAUUUUUCCAGUGCAUAGGAUGCUGCAAUUGCACAUCCAAGGUUCAAGAUAAAGCCAUGGAAGAGUACUUUUUGGAUUAAGAUUACUCUCUGAUAUUAUAAAAGAUUAUAAUUUUGCUAAAGAAUGGAUGUGUCUGGUUUCCUACCUGUAUUGGCUUCCAGUCAAUUUCUGGUACUAAUUCAAACUACUUUUUUAAUCUUUAAAACACAUUGUGGUUUAGAAACAGGUUAAAUGAAAGAUCACCUCUUCCCAGAUGUGCUUGGAAAAUCUCCCUAAACCUCACAGACUUUUCUCCCAAUGACUUCAACAACGGAAGAAUGCCAAAUGACUAUUUGGGAAAGCCGGACUUGGAGCAGACCAUUCUUCCAACAGAGACUACAGUCAAUCCUUUGUAUCCACAGAUUCUGCAUCCAUGGAUUCAACAAGCCUCUCUCUCUCCCUCUCCCUCCCUCCCUCCCCCCCCCUCUCUCUCUAUAUAUAUAUACACACACACAGUAGAGUCUCACUUAUCCAAGCUAAACGGGCCGGCAGAAGCUUGGAUAAGCGAAUAUCUUGGAUAAUAAGGAGGGAUUAAAGAAAAGCCUAUUAAACAUCAAAUUAGGUUAUGAUUUUACAAAUUAAGCACCAAAACAUCAUAUUAUACAACAAAUUUGACAGAAAAA